rnacentral:rRNA from 1 species
GAGUAAUGUCUGGGAAUCUGCCUGAUGGAGGGGGAUAACUACUGGAAACGGUAGCUAAUACCGCAUAAUGUCUACGGACCAAAGAGGGGGACCUUCGGGCCUCUUGCCAUCGGAUGUGCCCAGAUGGGAUUAGCUAGUAGGUGGGGUAACGGCUCACCUAGGCGACGAUCCCUAGCUGGUCUGAGAGGAUGACCAGCCACACUGGAACUGAGACACGGUCCAGACUCCUACGGGAGGCAGCAGUGGGGAAUAUUGCACAAUGGGCGCAAGCCUGAUGCAGCCAUGCCGCGUGUAUGAAGAAGGCCUUCGGGUUGUAAAGUACUUUCAGCGGGGAGGAAGGGAGUAAAGUUAAUACCUUUGCUCAUUGACGUUACCCGCAGAAGAAGCACCGGCUAACUCCG